GUCUAAGGUGCUAAUCCAUAUCUGCUGAAGGAUUAUACCUUUGACAUUGAGAGUCUUAGCCAAUUUCAACAGUGGAUAUGGUACAGUAUAAGCAGUGCUGUAUAAACACUGAGCCAUAUCAGGCUCUUUUUUCUUAUUUAUAUAAAGAUCUAAACUAAAGAAAAAUGAAACAAAGCUAAUGAAGAUGAGAGGAUCCUUACUGUGAUGUUUAUCCGAUACAGAUGGCAUCAUAAGGGGACUGUAUUUCAUUCAUGAGCAGAACACUUCAAUGCUGUGAAGGAACAGUGGUCUGUAGAGGUCACUCUGAUCUCCACACCCUCGUUCGACACCAUGGCAGGACCUCUUGAACCUUUAGAUCUCAAGCCUCCAAACGAGGAUGAGGUAUUUUUUAAGACUUACAUUCCACCAGCUCGAGAUGCCAUCCAUAUGCCCAUCCAUGUGUUUUAUAUGGUCCUGGCCAGCAUUGUCAUAGUCAUGACCCUCUACGCCAUCAUCGGUCACCUCAUCAAAGACCUACUCCAUGAUUUAGCAGACUGGCUGUUUGGCAAGCAGCCGGAGGAGAUGGAGAUAAACUUCUUGGAGUCGAGGGAUAAGUUCAUGGCAGACUGGUGCCCAGAAACGAGCCCUGAGCUGGAGGAGCUGGCCAGAUCUGAGCAGAUCAAAGUGGUCAUGGAGAGCAGCAACCAUACUCCAGCUAUCUGGGUCAUUUCAGAUGGGAGCGAAACACGUCCUCCACGUCCUGGACCACGUGUGGCAUUUCAUAAAAACACAUGAGCUUUGUUUGGGCUCCUUUCUGGCACUUUUGUACAUACAAUAUCUCACAAAAGUGAGUACACCCCUCACAUUUUUGUAAAUAUUUGAUUAUAUCUUUUCAUGUGACAAUAUGUGUUGAGUUAUUUUGAGGGGACAGCAAAUAUACACUGUUACACAAGCUGUACACUCACUACCUUACAUUGUAGCAAAGCGUCAUUUCUUCAGUGUUGUCACAUUAAAAGAUAUAAUCAAAUAUUUACAAACAUGUGAGGGGUGUACUCACUUUUGUGAGAUACUGUAUGUACAGUACUGUGCAAAAGUCUUAGGCACAUGCAAGAAGUGCUGUAAAGCAAAAAUAAUGAAAUUAAAUGCUUCUACAUGAAAAUAAAAAAACUGUAAACAAAGUCAAUAUUUUGUGCGACAUUGCUAUUUUUUUUAAACAUAAAUAGUAGUCUCUGCUACAGUUUGUGCAGUUUUGUAAGGAAAUUAUUAAGUUUUACUCAGCAUCUUGGAGAUUCUGCCACAGUUCUCUAGGGAGAAUUUCACUGUCAUUUUAUUACAUUUUUUUGCAAGCAAAACCAGCAGCCUUCAUUAUGUUAUUUCGUUUGAAAAGUGGUCUGAUACAUAAUAUGUAUCUUGUAAAAAAAUUUCUGCGAUGUGUAAUUUUGGUUGGAAA
ensembl:lncRNA